AGGAUGAGGGCUUACUGUCUUGGACGAAACUGAAGAUGCACUUUUAUGUUUUGGGUUAUAUGGAAAACCAAUACAUUUCAGGUAGUUUCCUUGAAAAGUCUUAGUGUAAGAUCUGGAAUACAUGCGUCACGCAGUUGAAGUUGUGCCAGGUUGCAGAUAACUUCAUAAAAGCUGGUGGCUUAUUUGUGGUGGUGGAGGUGCAGGUUUUGGA